CAAGAAUAAAUUCCUACCAUCCUAUCUAAAGUUAUCUUCUCUACUCCCCUUUAUUUUCUGCUUCAACCUCUUAUUUGUUUCCUUCCCUGCAGAUGAAAGGUUGCCAAUUAAUUUGUCCACUUGCUUUACGACUGUCUCCCCAACAGCAUGUAAGCCACACAAGGUAAUAACCCCGAUUCUCCUGUUCACUGUUGCAUCCCCAGUACCAAGCAGUGCAUGGCGCACACUAGAUGCUCACUAAACAUUUGUUGAAUGGCUAUUUGGGUGGAUUCGUAGGUGACACAUGAAUAGAUGAAGAAAGACAAAAAUCAAGUUUCUGAAUCUGCCGACCUGAGGAUCCUACCUGGCAAAGCCUGGUGACCCUACCAGGUAAUAACUACACCGCAUUAAGACCUAUUCUGAAAUAGCUGCUAUACACCUUUGCCUCUAAAUUCAUUCACUUGUAAAAUGUCCCAUCCAUUAAAAUUAUAUAUUCCUUGUUAAUAUACUGCAUCAGCCUACAGACUUAAGAAUAUUUCCUAAACAUGGAAUAUUAUCUCUCAUUUGAAGGAGUGGUCUGCCUAGUCUCCUGAUGUAAAACACAGCAAGCGAGGCUGGUCCUUUAGCCACACAAAGUAAAUGUGCCACACUAGAAAGAAGCUUUCCUCUGCAUCGGAAAAUCGCAUUUGUGUUUAGUAGAACCCCCAUUCGUGAAAGACCGGAUGGGCAGCAGGGAUCCUCCUACCAAUCCAAAAGCUGGAGGUUGAGCAUGUGAUGCAAAUCAGCCAAUCGGGUGCUCGCAGCAGGACUCCCGCAUUUCAAACGACUGACGCUAUAGUUCAAGGACAUUGUUUGGUGUGGCUACAGCAGGGCUGGGAGUACCUUAGACGGUGAAAAGGUUGUGCGAUCUGCCGAAACAAUUCGGAUUGUUCCUGCAGUGUGACCUGGGCUUGGUUUUCCUGCUGCUCAGCUCUCCUGCCUAUUUUCUGGGCCUGAUUCCCCAGCCUCCCCGUUGGUUCUGUGAACACAAUAUCCUUCCAGUACAUUCCAAUAAAUAAGUAAUCAAGACUCUGUUUCUGUAGUCGACACUGUGAUGAGCUCUCCAAAUUCCCUUUCAAGUCUGAAGGAUUUAUUUUCUCAGCUGUUGAGUGGGCUGCUGGCAGGCAGGCCAUGGCUGACAGCCCUCUGCAGGACCGCCUCAGCUGAAGAGAGUCUCAUUACCCAAGAUCACUACCGGGAAGUCUGGAUCAGAGACUGGCCAACAUAGGAUAGGGUGGUCUGGCCCCUUAUCCCACAUGGUUGCCAGUAAAAUUAACAAUGCUCAGAUAAUUUCAG